rnacentral:rRNA from 1 species
UACGUAGGGUGCGAGCGUUGUCCGGAAUUACUGGGCGUAAAGGGCUCGCAGGCGGCCACCUAAGUCCGACGUGAAAUCCCCAGGCUUAACCUGGGAACUGCGUCGGAUACUGGAUGGCUUGAGUUCGGGAGAGGGAUGCAGAAUUCCAGGUGUAGCGGUGAAAUGCGUAGAUAUCUGGAGGAAUACCGGUGGCGAAGGCGGCAUCCUGGACCGGCAUUGACGCUGAGGAGCGAAAGCCAGGGGAGCAAACGGG